AGAUAAACUGUAAACAGCAAUAAUGUACAGUAAAGUAAGAACUAAAAAUAAGUCAGUAUGACCAAAAUAGUCAAUUGACCCCCUAAGGAGUUAUUGCCUUUAUAGUCAAUUUUUAACAAUUUUCUUAAAAUUUGAAGAUUUUCAAUAACACUUUCCACAGAAAGUACUGUUAUAGAUAGAGAUAAUUGUAAGCAGCAAGAAUGUUUAGUAAAGUAAGAUCUACAAACACAUCACCAUCACCAAAACACAAUUUUGUCAUGAAUCCAUCUGUGUCCAUUGUUUAAUAUUCACAUAGACCAAGGUGAGCG
rnacentral:lncRNA from 1 species